UGGGGAAUAUUGCACAAUGGGCGCAAGCCUGAUGCAGCCAUGCCGCGUGUGUGAAGAAGGCCUUCGGGUUGUAAAGCACUUUCAGCGAGGAGGAAGGUGGUGAACUUAAUACGUUCAUCAAUUGACGUUACUCGCAGAAGAAGCACCGGCUAACUCCGUGCCAGCAGCCGCGGUAAUACGGAGGGUGCAAGCGUUAAUCGGAAUUACUGGGCGUAAAGCGCACGCAGGCGGUUUGUUAAGUCAGAUGUGAAAUCCCCGGGCUCAACCUGGGAACUGCAUUUGAAACUGGCAAGCUAGAGUCUCGUAGAGGGGGGUAGAAUUCCAGGUGUAGCGGUGAAAUGCGUAGAGAUCUGGAGGAAUACCGGUGGCGAAGGCGGCCCCCUGGACGAAGACUGACGCUCAGGUGCGAAAGCGUGGGGCAGCAAACAGGAUUAGAUACCCUGGUAGUCCACGCUGUAAACGAUGUCGAUUUGGAGGUUGUGCCCUUGAGGCGUGGCUUCCGGAGCUAACGCGUUAAAUCGACCGCCUGGGGAGUACGGCCGCAAGGUUAAAACUCAAAUGAAUUGACGGGGUCAUAGCUGUUUCCU
rnacentral:rRNA from 1 species